rnacentral:miRNA from 1 species
GCUCUCCGUCAUCCACACGGGCCGCUCCUUUGCCGGGCGGCGGUCUUCGGAGGCGGCGGCGGCGGCGGCGGCCGUGGCGGAGGCGGAGGAGGAGCC